AUGUCUGCAUUAACCGGUCCACUCUGUCUCCAGUUCAGUGCCACCUCCAGCACUUCCUGUAGCAGCAGCCAGCGCCUCCUCUUCAGUGGGUGUCGCUCUCCUGGGCCCAUCCCCACUCUCUGGGCUACAAAGGCUCCCACGGUGCAGACCCUAGGUGGAUUUAAGCCCCCACACCCAGGAUUUGGUGGAUACAACAAGGAGAACAAAGGCCAGCCUAAUGGGACUCCCCCCUUCACGCAGCGUAACGCCAGCAUGGCUUCUAUUGCCAGCACAUAUUCUGAGUUUGUGGUAAAGAAGCCCUUUUUCUCACUUAACUCUGCCUUCAAAGCAUUUGAGCUCAAAGCUGACCUUUGUGUUCUAGAAGGACUUGAAGAGCACCGAGCCACUAAAGUCCAGGUGUGUUCUGAGAGCUGCUAGCAUCUAACUAACCUAAGUACUAGCUCAGAAUAUCUUUGAUUAAACCAAACUAACUUUACUUAUUAAAUCAAGACAAAACCUACUGAAGACAACAUCAGGCCUCAUCUUUGAGAGACAAUGCAUUGAUGUUUGUUCAUGUGUUUAAACAUGUUUUUGUGACGACCACUUUCUCAUACACAACUUAUUGUAUGUAUGAGUACCCUAGAACAGUGUUUUUGUACCGUUGUACCGUGGGAAAUGACCCAUUCACAGGCCCUGAU
rnacentral:lncRNA from 1 species